GUUUGCCAGGAUAAGCUGGUGUAACUUUAGUUUUUUCUAUUAUUUUUCCACUAUUAGGUUCUAUUGGAAGAGGAUAACACAAAUCACCAAUUGGAGGAAACCUACAAAUAAAAAUUUAAGAUGGAAAUUCUUAUAUACUUUCUGGUGUUACCAUUACUGUUACAAGGACUGGAGUUGCUCUCACUUUCUGAGUUGGAACAACCUGUUUGGAUAUUCUUUACAGUUGCAGCAUCCUUGAUUUCUUCUGCUGGCACAAAAUGUGUAGGUUUUGGUAAUUUUGUAGCUUUCACAACGACUUCGCUUUGAGUACAAGGAUUUGAACCUAAAAGUGAUAGAAUUUAAUGAAUAAUUUUAAAUAAAAGAAAUUAAAUUACACCAUAA